rnacentral:rRNA from 1 species
GUAGCUUGCUCCUGGAUUAGUGGCGAACGGGUGAGUAACACGUGAGUAACCUGCCCUUGACUCUGGGAUAAGCCUGGGAAACUGGGUCUAAUACCGGAUAUGACCUUCCAUCGCAUGGUGGUUGGUGGAAAGCUUUUGUGGUUUUGGAUGGACUCGCGGCCUAUCAGCUUGUUGGUGGGGUAAUGGCCUACCAAGGCGACGACGGGUAGCCGGCCUGAGAGGGUGACCGGCCACACUGGGACUGAGACACGGCCCAGACUCCUACGGGAGGCAGCAGUGGGGAAUAUUGCACAAUGGGCGCAAGCCUGAUGCAGCGACGCCGCGUGAGGGAUGACGGCCUUCGGGUUGUAAACCUCUUUCAGUAGGGAAGAAGCCGUGAGGUGACGGUACCUGCAGAAGAAGCGCCGGCUAACUACGUGCCAGCAGCCGCGGUAAUACGUAGGGCGCAAGCGUUAUCCGGAAUUAUUGGGCGUAAAGAGCUCGUAGGCGGUUUGUCGCGUCUGCCGUGAAAGUCCGGGGCUCAACUCCGGAUCUGCGGUGGGUACGGGCAGACUAGAGUGAUGUAGGGGAGACUGGAAUUCCUGGUGUAGCGGUGAAAUGCGCAGAUAUCAGGAGGAACACCGAUGGCGAAGGCAGGUCUCUGGGCAUUAACUGACGCUGAGGAGCGAAAGCAUGGGGAGCGAACAGGAUUAGAUACCCUGGUAGUCCAUGCCGUAAACGUUGGGCACUAGGUGUGGGGGACAUUCCAC